rnacentral:tRNA from 1 species
AUAGAAAUAAAUAUUAGUCUUCUAAACUGAUAAUAGGGUUUUCCUUUCUGUU